GACGAACGCUGGCGGCGUGUUUAAGACAUGCAAGUCGCACGGUGUCAUUUUGGUAGCAAUACUUGAAUGGCAUAGUGGCGCACGGGUGAGUAACACGUGAAUUACAUGCCCUGUAGAGGGGGAUAGCCCGGGGAAACUUGGAUUAAUACCCCAUGGUCUCGCAAGAGUAAAGGUGGCCGCAAGGCUGUCGCUACAGGAUUGGUUCGCGCCCUAUCAGCUAGUUGGCGGGGUAACGGCCCACCAAGGCUACGACGGGUACCUGGUCUGAGAGGACGAUCAGGCACACUGGAACUGAGACACGGUCCAGACACCUACGGGUGGCAGCAGUCGAGAAUAAUUCACAAUGGGGGCAACCCUGAUGGUGCAACGCCGCGUGGAGGAUGACGGUCUUCGGAUUGUAAACUCCUGUCAUCCGGGAGUAAGACCUGGGCAUGAAUAGUGCACAGGGUUGAUAGUACCGGAAGAGGAAGGGACGGCUAACUUCGUGCCAGCAGCCGCCGUAAAAC
rnacentral:rRNA from 1 species